rnacentral:rRNA from 1 species
AGUCAUAUGCUUGUCUCAAAGAUUAAGCCAUGCAUGUCUAAGUAUAAACAACUUUGUACUGUGAAACUGCGAACGGCUCAUUAUAUCAGCAAUUAUUUAUUUGAUGGUGUCUUACUACAUGGAUAACCGUAGUAAUUCUAGAGCUAAUACAUGCGUAAAGACCCGACUCUUGCGGGAAGGGUUGUAUUUAUUAGAUUAAAAGCCAAUGCGGGCUCUGCCCGGUUUCAUGGUGAGUCAUAGUAACUUUUCGGAUCGCACGGCUUCACGCCGGCGACGGUUCAUUCAAAUUUCUGCCCUAUCAGCUUUCGACGGUAGUGUAGUGGACUACCGUGGCAUUUAC